GUUCGACGAUUUUUCUCUGAAGGCACAAGUUGCUGCUAUGUUGAUUCAACCUUUGGGUAGCAUUCUGAUUAAAGUGAUUUGGUUUCUUUUUUCAACCUUUGGGUUGUAUUCUGAUGGAAGUGAUUUUGUUCUUCCAAUCUAUGUGUAGAAUGUUCUGUUUGUGGAGCAAGUAGGCGAACCAUUGGAGCGACGUGAUACUCCAUAUUGGCAUAAUCCCACUAAAUAGCAUGGUUAAUGAUUCCGAUUUUAGCAUCUAAUAAUUUUUCCAAUUACUUACAACUCUUAUUCAUAUAUGGUUAUUUGCUGUAAUGUACAGAACAUUUUUCAUAUAUCAUGACCCUUUGCAGUGUUUAUUUGGAACACAGGAUUCCUAAUUUUUGGACCUGUACACAACCAGAUUUUGGGGAUUUAUAAUGUGAGUGAGUUAUUAUGUUACUUGAAUCGGUGUACGUAACCUGGUUUUGUUGGGGCUUGGUUUUCAGUGAUUCCAACAGAGAUUAUGGAUGACAGCAGACAACAUUGCAGAUACGUUGCAGCUGGGCACCCUGAUCAGGUUUCCUUUUUGGUAAUUUUUGGAGAUCAUAGAUGAUAUUAAUAUCAUAGUUGUACUGCAAUUUGCAAGGUUUCUUGUGUUUGUGUGUACAAAUAGAUCGAAUCCAAUUCAAGUGACUUUGAUUAAUUUCCUUUUCAAAGUUAUUGUUGGGCAGCUAUUGACCUCUAUAAUACAUUUAUUUUCACUUCUCUUUUGCUCCCAGGAAAUCUGGUCCAAGCCCCACUACAGUUUUAUAUAAGGAUGUUGGAGGCAGCAUCGGAAGAGACAAGUCUGCGGGAAUCUUGUCCAAACUCCACAUCGCUGUCACCGAACAAAGUUGGAGGUACAAUUGAAAGAGACCAGCCAGAUUCUUGUUCCGGGUAUUAAAAAGAAAACCUGGCUAGAGAUUUCAUGCCAUGUCAUUCCAUUUAUGUUUGCUUGUGUGCUUAUCAUAUCUGAUUACAUGAUUGACAUUUAUUUCAUAAUUAGUAUAUACUUUGACACAUGAUAUGUUUUGCUUUAUUUAUGAACAACAGGAUACGUUUACUUUUUGUGAUCAUAUAAGUGAACAAACAUAGCCAAUGGUUAAAGUUUAUAUCUACUAUGUAUGUAUAUUUUUCAUUCACACAUGUCUCACUGCCUUUUAAGCACUUAAGAGAGCAGAACUGGAGAUUGCUCUCAUUAAAUGUGAACAAAAUUGAUGUUCUUUUUUUUGCAAAAUAGUAAAUACUGUGUUCUCUUGAUUGUUUUUUUGUCUUUUCAGUUUACCUGAAUCUAAGAAGUCCGACCAUCAAUUAAUGAGAGAUUUUUGCUUCUAUCAUUCAUGGAACCAUUGAAAUGAAAUACAUACCUUGGCU